rnacentral:rRNA from 1 species
AUUGAACGCUGGCGGCAUGCCUUACACAUGCAAGUCGAACGGCAGCACGGGAGCAAUCCUGGUGGCGAGUGGCGAACGGGUGAGUAAAGUAUCGGAACGUGCCCAGUCGUGGGGGAUAACGUAGCGAAAGUUACGCUAAUACCGCAUACGAUCUAUGGAUGAAAGCGGGGGAUCGCAAGACCUCGCGCGAUUGGAGCGGCCGAUAUCAGAUUAGGUAGUUGGUGGGGUAAAGGCUCACCAAGCCGACGAUCUGUAGCUGGUCUGAGUGGACGACCAGCCACACGGGGACUGAGCCACGGCCCAGACUCCUACGGGAGGCAGACGUGGGGAAUUUGGGACAAUGGGCGAAAGCCUGAUCCAGCCAUGCCUCGUGCAGGGUGAAGGCCUUCGGGUUGUAAACUGCUUUUGUACGGAACGAAAAGGUUUGGCCUAAUAAGCUGAGCUCAUGACGGUACCGUAAGAAUAAGCACCGGCUAACUACGUGCCAGCAGCCGCGGUAA